GAUGAAGAACGCAGCGAAAUGCGAUAAGUAAUGUGAAUUGCAGAGUCCAGUGAAUCAUCGAAUCUUUGAACGCACAUUGCGCCCGCCAGCAUUCUGGCGGGCAUGCCUGUUCGAGCGUCAUUUCAACCCUCGACCUCCCUUUGGGGAAGUCGGCGUUGGGGACCGGCAGCACACCGCCGGCCCUGAAAUGGAGUGGCGGCCCGUCCGCGGCGACCUCUGCGUAGUAAACCAACUCGCACCGGAACCCCGACGUGGCCACGCCGUAAAACACCCAACUUCUGAACGUUGACCUCGAAUCAGGUAGGACUACCCGCUGAACUUAAGCAUAUCAAUAAGCGGAGGA
rnacentral:misc_RNA from 1 species